AUGGCAUCUUCUUCUGGAAUCCUAUCUAUUAUUAGCACGAUUUUGGGAAAUCCCCUUGCUAUUACUCAAACAAGCACGAAACGUAUGCUUGCAUAUUCGUCCUUACGGCAAAUCAGAUAUGUAAUUAUUAGAAUAAUUUUUGGAGACUCAAAUGAUGGAUAUGCAAGCAUGAUAAUUUAUAUGUUCUAUAUCUCCAUGAAUCUAGGAACUUUUGCUUGCAUUGUAUUAUUUGGUCUAUGUACCGAAACUAGUAACAUUCAAAAUUAUGCAGGAUUAUACAUGACAGUUCCAUUUUUGGCUCUCUCUUUAUCCCUAUGUCUCUUAUCCCUAGGUGGCCUUCCUCUAGUAGCCGGUUUCUUUAAACUCUAUACAUUUUGGUAUGGAUGGCAAGCAGGCCUAUAUUUCUUGGUUUCAAUAGGACUUCAUACGAGCAUUCUGCCUAUCUACUACUAUCUAAAAAUUAAGUUAUUAAUGACUGGAUGAAACCAAGAAAUAUCCUCUUAUGUGUGAAACUAUAAAAGAUCCUCCAUCGAAUUGAGUAUGACUGUACAUGUGAUAGCAUCUACUAUACGAGAAUAUCAAUGA
rnacentral:rRNA from 1 species